rnacentral:ncRNA from 2 species
CCGUUUGACCCUCGUGAUUUGAGCGGCCGGCUUGCGGCGAGGAUAAAUAAUUGCGCUAAAGAGGCCCUGCGGUUUUCCAC